rnacentral:rRNA from 1 species
GAUGAACGCUAGCUACAGGCUUAACACAUGCAAGUCGAGGGACCGGCGCACGGGUGAGUAACCCGUAUCCAACCUGCCCUUUACUCGGUGAUAGCCUUUCGAAAGAAAGAUUAAUACCCGAUAUAAAGGAUGGGGAUGCGUUCCAUUAGGUUGUUGGUGAGGUAACGGCUCACCAAGCCUUCGAUGGAUAGGGGUUCUGAGAGGAAGCUCCCCCACAGUGGAACUGAGACACGGGCCAAACUCAUACGGGAGGCAGGAAUGAGGAAUAUUGUGGAAGGGACGCUAGCCUGAACCAGCCAAGUAGCGUGAAGGAUGAAGGCUUAUGGGUCGUAAACUUCUUUUAUAUAAGAAUAGGUAUUAGAAGAAUAAGGAUCGGCUAACUCCGUGCCAGCAGCCGCGGUAAUAC